CCUUUUCCAUCCAAGUUCCUUAAUUUGUUGGUCAUUUUGGAGAGUUUUAUGUUUUGAUGGAUUUCAAUCGACUCUUGUAAUAUAGAGAACAACCUCCGACAUGCUCAGUUGUGGACUGUUCCUUAAAAAGGGAGUUGAAACAGUAAUUGAAGGCAUAUGGUUUCAUCAACAGAGAUAGUACACGCGCAUGUGUCACGGUGAUGAGAAAGAUCAUCAACUUGAGUUUUGUAAGUAGUUCUGAUCUCAUAAAUGCCAAGCUUGAAGAGCAUCAAUUUUAUGGAUCCAAGCAGUGCCUCGGUUGCAAACACCAGUUUCAAGGGAAGCUGAGGCUACACGGCUGACUAGGCUUGCGCGCAGGAGUGAAGUUUGAUCCCAUAUACCAAGAACUAAUAGAACAUCUUGAAGCCAGAGUGAAGGCAAAGAACAUGAAACCACAAACCAACAGCUUUUGUCCAUCAACACUUACACCAUAUGCACCCAAUAUCUCUGUGACUCAUUUAGUCUGACUUAUAUUGAUUAAUUCUCAUAUGCAUUAUAGUGAUCACUAGCUAUAGGUCAAGUUAUCUCCCAUUCCACCUCCACUUCAUUAAGUUAUGUAGCAAUUAAGUAGGUAACGCUGCAGACAUUCUCCCUUUAUAUAUACUAGCAAUAACUUUAGCUAAAUCCUUUAGAGUUAAGUGAGUCAUAUAAGGCACGCAAAUGCACGAUCAAGGUCUCUAGUGAGAUUUUAUAGUGAUGUGUAGGAAACAAUUAUGUUGCAACACAAACAAGGAUUCCAAUGCCAAAGUUAGCAUAUAAGGUCUCUAGUGAGAUGUUACGGUGAUGUGUAGGCCAAUUCAAGUUUCUUAAAGUUGUUGGCUUUCUUAAGUUUUAUAGGCUUUAUGGUUAUGAAAUGUCACUAUCGUUUUUUAUCACUUCACAUGAAACCUAUGUAAUAACUUCUUCAACAUCUCUUUUAUGUUGUUGAAUCAAAUGAAUUCUGACCAAUUUAAAUAUGAUAAUGGAAUAAUGGAUGCUAAUUUUACUAUUUUCAUUAACUAUAGAGAUAUAAGAUUACAAUAUGAGUUGCAUGGUAUUUUCUGUUGAGUAUAGUCCAUAGACAUAUUAUGUAACUUAUGCUCUGUAAUUUAAGUUUUGUUGUAGAUUCACGGUGUAGUGGAAGAUAAGAAAGGUACAACAGUGGCAACUCUAUUUGAGAAAUGGGAUGAGAGCUUGCAUUACGUAAUUGGAGGGAAUUUUGGGAAGCGAAGCCUAACACCAGAGUACCAAACAAGAUAUAACGUCACACAAUUUUCUAUUACACUAUAUGAAAUCACACCUAUAUUAAAGGAGAAGUUGCCUCCAAUAGAUUCAAGACCAAGACUUGAUCAAAGGUGUUUGGAUAAUGGAUAACAUGAAAUGGCCAAUUCUGAACAAUUGCGACUGGAACAAAGUUAGUGGCAGGCACAAAAGAUGAAAGAGAAAGGUUGGAAACCACGGUGGUUUGCCAAGGAAAAAGGCAACAACUCUUACCAUUAUGUUGGAGGGUACUGGGAGACUAGGGAAAAGGAGAAUUGGGAGUCUUGUCUUGACAUUUUUGACCAAGCCUCAACCGAUACUGAUUUUAAGCAAACUUCAUAAAUUCUCAACACUUUUUACCUACCUACUUCCCCUACCACCACACCCCUUUUGAUCAUAGCAUAUGUUCAUAACCAUAUUUAUGAUCAUUAUUUUUUGAGCAUUCAACAGAUAUGGUUGAUUAAUGCCUGCUAUCUAUAGGUUAUGUAUAGAAAACAAUGGUUCUUACUUCUUCCUGAACAAGAUAACUUCCUGUUUCCCAAUUCUAUCUGGCAACAACAACAACUUUUCUUGCUGUCAGAUACUCAUUUCGAAGUUGGGUUUAUAGAAUGGAUGGAGUGAAGCUUUGUAUGAAAGUCAUAGUUGAAACUGUAGUAUGAAGUCCAGCUUUUAUAAAAUAUAAGAGAACUGCUUCUUUUAUAAAAUAUCGAAGAAUUGAUUCUACUAGUUUCUUUUUGAGUCUUUAUUUCAUUUGUAUAGUGGCAUGUCAUUUUCAUUUUGAGUGUGGUAAAUAUUGUAGGAAUGAUGUUAGCAAUGAAGCUCAAGAUACUCUAGGUUCUGCAGAUGGAGUUCCUGUAAAAGAUAAAGAAGUACACUUCUCUUACAUCAGUUUUGUUUCUAGUU